AUUGAACGCUGGCGGCAUGCCUUACACAUGCAAGUCGAACGGCAGCACGGGAGCAAUCCUGGUGGCGAGUGGCGAACGGGUGAGUAAAGUAUCGGAACGUGCCCAGUCGUGGGGGAUAACGUAGCGAAAGUUACGCUAAUACCGCAUACGAUCUAUGGAUGAAAGCGGGGGAUCGCAAGACCUCGCGCGAUUGGAGCGGCCGAUAUCAGAUUAGGUAGUUGGUGGGGUAAAGGCUCACCAAGCCGACGAUCUGUAGCUGGUCUGAGAGGACGACCAGCCACACUGGGACUGAGACACGGCCCAGACUCCUACGGGAGGCAGCAGUGGGGAAUUUUGGACAAUGGGCGAAAGCCUGAUCCAGCCAUGCCGCGUGCAGGAUGAAGGCCUUCGGGUUGUAAACUGCUUUUGUACGGAACGAAAAGGUUUGGCCUAAUAAGCUGAGCUCAUGACGGUACCGUAAGAAUAAGCACCGGCUAACUACGUGCCAGCAGCCGCCGUAAGAC
rnacentral:rRNA from 1 species